UUCAAUAGUAUGACUGUUGAGGUAGCUGAAAUCUGAAUGGCAAACAAUCUAUUCAGGUUUCAUAUGACUUUUAUAAAAACUGAUUACAGGUUUCUCCGCUUAAAAGAGUGGUAUUCCUUAAUGAGUUCGGCGCGUGCUCAUCAUUCGAACUAUAACGGUCAUCUACCACUGUACGCUGAGGAAAAGGGAUAAGCAUUUCAACAGAGCCACAUCACCGAAUGGUAAAGACUUUUUCAAAAUUACACAUUCUGUCACUGAAAGUAGUACACUUGGUUUUUGUUUUUGCUAUUUGAUAUUUUGUCUUUUGCUAUCUUUCUAUUCUAGUUGCAUUAAAGAUGUGAACACGUUAUUUGUGAUUGGAAUAUUUCUGAUUGGAAUAUUUAAAAUCAUGUUAGUUGAGGUAACUUCUAGAGGUCGACCGAUAGUGGAUUUUACCGAUACCGAUAGCUAGGUUGGACCACACUGGUCGAUACCGAUUAAUCAACCGAUAGUUUUCAAAAUGGAUACUGAAAGAAAGCUAGUGCUUUACUAUUAAAAAAAAAAAAAAAAAAAAAAAGCAAUAACAGUACUGAACCAUACAUUGUAAAUUAAUAAAAAUAUUAAUAUUAUUUACUAUAUUGAUCAUUAAAGUUAUUUCAUAGUUUGCUAAUGUUAAAAGAAGAAACUUUAAAAUUUAAAAAAUGUAGCCAAUUAGUAGCUAAUAGUGAAUGUUGAAAUGAACAAACUAUAACAAGGAACAAUACAAGUUUUCAUUAAUGCUACAAAUGAACUCUUAUUGUUAAGUGUUACCAUUUAAUUUCAACAAUCAUGCUUAAAGAUGGCCAUCUUUAAAUAUCUACACAAGACCAUAGCAUUAAAAUUACAUACACAUGGAUAUUGUAUGUGUACUCACAUACUUUAUAUGCUUAUAUUUUUUAACACUUGAUAAUUAUCUAAUCAAAAAAAAAUAAAUAAAAAUGUAGUCACACACCGGGCAAAAGCGCAGCGCUGCGUCUAGGAGAACUCAGAGGUAUCACACACACACACACACACACACCAACCCGUUCUCAUCAAUCUGCGUAUAAAUAACACGGCUUUACACUUUGCAAUGGCGUAUAAUGCAUACGCCAAAUGCCAAUUUUGCGUGCAUAUGAUACGCCAAUCCUCCCCAUUGAUUUCGGUGGAGAGCAGAAGAUGCGUCCAAAUACCACGCAGCAUCUUCAGCGGCAGUGACGUCACCAGCGAGGCUCGGCCCGGUUCACCUGAUGCGCGUGCACCUUCAAACAGGAAGCUGCUAGAAUUAACAGGGAACUCAAUGCUGAUCUUGAAGAAGCUGCCAAGGAGGCUGAACAAGUCCUUCAGUGAUUCAACUCUUCACACUGAGAGGGAAGACCAAAGGAAGGCCUGUCCUGGGAUUUGAUUUUGGCCGUAUUGUGCGUUUACGGAGAAGACCCAGAGCUGCAAAGGCAAAUGCUGAAGACCAAAAAUGCAAAGAAAAUCAGUCACAGCAAGUUAACAGGCAAACCAGUCCUUUGACUGAGGCAUGAACAUGGUCUUCUUCUGCCCAAACAGAAAAGAGAAAGCUGGAAAGUUGCACAUUUCCAUUGAUCCUAGAAUGAGCAAAUCAGCUGUACAUCAUCUCUGGGAUUUAGGCAGGAAAUGACUGAAUAUGGAGGAUGAAGCCAGUUGAUGAAGAUAUCAAUUAAAUGGCCACCAAGUGAAGCACUGCUGCCUGAACCCAUCAGAUAUCUGCUGUGAAGACUGCAUUCACGAACAGCUCUACUGUGACAGCGCAGAAGUUACAGCCCAUAAAAGAAACAAGAUAGUGGUGGAGGGAUUCUUUUAGCCCAUACCUCUAACAAGAAUCAAUGGACAUCAAGACCAGGUGGUGUGUGAGAAAAGCAUGGAGGACCGUCAGAGACUCCAGCCACCCGAGCCAUGGAUUGCUCUCACGGUCACCAUCAGGCAGAUGUUAUUGCAGAACCUUCACCAGCAGACUACGAGACAAGUUCUUUCCACAGACAAUCAGACUGAACUGAACUCGCACCACACACAGCACACCAACCUCUUAUGUACUGCACUCUAUCACUUACACUGACUGGACUCUGACUCACUAUUAUUCUGCAUCCUGACAUUCUGUUUGCACUAAUUCAUACCAUACUGCACUGCAAAGGUGUAUGUGUACUGUGAUUAUUGUUUUCAUUUCAUGCUGUAUGUAUAGUAUCAUAUUUACCAUAUGGUGUUCUCUAUCUGUAUUGAGUCCCUUAUGUGUGUGUUGCAUAUAUAUUCAAUAUUUGUCAUCCAUAAUGUCAUGCUGCAUUUUGCACAAAAGACUUUCACCACCUGUACACUUACGUUCAUGGUAUUGUGACAAUAAAGUGAUUUUAAUUGGU